ACACAACUAUUCUGAAGCUUGAUAAAUAAAAAUAAAAUGGCAAGUAAAAGACAAAUGGAAGAAUCAGACACUUGUCCUGUCAUCCCAAAGAAGAGAGAGCCUGGCAGAGACAUACAAAUGAAGCAGUUCAAUGACCCCAUUCAUGGACACAUGG